rnacentral:lncRNA from 1 species
CGUGACAGUAAUAAUUGAUUGAAUCUUAUGUCUUUGCUUCUUGUCAAUUCAUUUCUAGGUUACUCACUUAUUGAGACCAAAAAGAACCUUAGGAACUUGGGAGACUCUUACUGACUUUGAAGAGUAUAGCCUCAAAGAAGCAAGGUUAUGAAGCUUCAUUAGCAAACAGUAUCAUUGCUAAAGAUCAAAGACCACCACAAUGGGCCCACAACUCCUGAACCUUAGAGUUGCAGAGGCUUUGAACUUCAUGCCAGAGGCAGUCUCCCUGAAUUUAACUGUUAAUUUCCUGUAACAGUUACCAGAGUCUGCCUGAGGGCUACCCGUCCAUCCACC